UAGCGGCGGACGGGUGAGUAACGCGUGGGAACGUGCCCUUUGCUACGGAAUAGUCCCGGGAAACUGGGUUUAAUACCGUAUACGCCCUUCGGGGGAAAGAUUUAUCGGCAAAGGAUCGGCCCGCGUUGGAUUAGGUAGUUGGUGGGGUAAUGGCCUACCAAGCCGACGAUCCAUAGCUGGUUUGAGAGGAUGAUCAGCCACACUGGGACUGAGACACGGCCCAGACUCCUACGGGAGGCAGCAGUGGGGAAUCUUAGACAAUGGGGGCAACCCUGAUCUAGCCAUGCCGCGUGAGUGAUGAAGGCCUUAGGGUUGUAAAGCUCUUUCAGCUGGGAAGAUAAUGACGGUACCAGCAGAAGAAGCCCCGGCUAACUCCGUGCCAGCAGCCGCGGUAAUACGGAGGGGGCUAGCGUUGUUCGGAAUUACUGGGCGUAAAGCGCACGUAGGCGGAUCGGAAAGUUGGGGGUGAAAUCCCGGGGCUCAACCUCGGAACUGCCUCCAAAACUAUCGGUCUUGAGUUCGAGAGAGGUGAGUGGAAUUCCGAGUGUAGAGGUGAAAUUCGUAGAUAUUCGGAGGAACACCAGUGGCGAAGGCGGCUCACUGGCUCGAUACUG
rnacentral:rRNA from 1 species